UACGUAGGGUGCGAGCGUUGUCCGGAAUUAUUGGGCGUAAAGAGCUCGUAGGCGGUCCGUCGCGUCGAUUGUGAAAACCCGGGGCUCAACUCCGGGCUUGCACUCGAUACGGGCGGACUAGAGUUCGGUAGGGGAGACUGGAAUUCCUGGUGUAGCGGUGAAAUGCGCAGAUAUCAGGAAGAACACCAAUGGCGAAGGCAGCUCGCUGGGACGUAACUGACGCUGAGACGCGAAAGCGUGGGGAGCAAACAGG
rnacentral:rRNA from 1 species